UUGGAGUACACCUUCAGCCUGACCGUGUGGAAGGCCGGCCGCAAGGAGGAGGCCACCAACCAGACGUGCUGGUGGAGGCCGCACGCUCUCCUCUCUCUGUUUCUUAUGCAAAUUCUAUGUAACACGACAGCCUGCUUCAGCUUUGCUUCCUUCCAAACCUGCCACAGUUCCACGUACAGUCUUCAAGCCACAUACACCCUAGUGGCAAAAGCUACACAGUCCCUCAGCAAUACCAACAGUGAGGAAGAGCCCCUUCCCACCCCAGAGGCAGCCACUGUCCCCAGCCCACGUCCCUGUUGCUGGAUGUGGUGGGCCGGUUCUCACCCUCACGCUCCCCUCUCUGGACCGGCCAGGAGGCUUGGUGACCCUGAGCCCGUGGUGGCUGCUCCUGCUGCUGUCAGGCGGGGCCUGCUGGUGCCCCAGAGUGGGCGUCUGUUCCCCAGUCCCUGCUUUCCUCAGCUGGCCUGAUUGGGGGUCUGCCCAGAGGGGUCGUCUGAGGGGAGGGUGUGGGAGCAGGUUCCAUCCCGGCUCAGCCUCCUGACCCAGGCCCUGGCUAAGGGCUGCAGGAGUCUGUGAGUCAGGCCUACGUGGCAACUGCGGUCCUCACACCCACACAUACGUCUGUUCCCACACGCAUCCCCCCAGGGGCCCUCAGUGAGCAUUGCCUGCCUCCUGCCAGGCUCCAGCUGGGUCCAGUACACCAGAACACACCCCCCAGUGUCCUCUGCCCUGUGUAUGCCCUUCCGCCACCCAGGUUGGAAGGUGGCAAACCGGAUGAGUAUCCUGGGAGGGUUGAGCUCACCGGCAGUGGCC
rnacentral:lncRNA from 1 species